UUGGAGGAUGCAUUGCAUUUGCCAUCAGUGUUGCCAUCAUUAUCCUUGUCUGCUGUAUUUGCAAAAGGAAGUCGAAAAAUAGGGGUGCUUCUAAAGGUGGCAAGUCGUGCAGUGGAGAUGAUGGUUAUCGCAUGCAGCCAACCCCUUCACGGCUCGGUACAGCCAAUGUAGCAUAUGUUGAAGAAACACAGUAUGCUCCAAUUACUGUAGCAAGGAGACAGGUAUGGCAGGCAGAAAAUGUGACUGAUCUUGUAGAAGAUGCUCUAAAUUCAUGUUUGCAGUCACUUUGCAGCCAUUAUUGGGGUCCCCAUCUUACAACAUUCUCUGGACUAGUGCUUAGCCAAUCACAAUUCCAGUUCCCUUUGUCAGAAACCAAGUAAUCCAACAUUCAUUGACAUCACCAAUCAAAGAUUGUUUUUUGGUGACAGAAGGCAGCAUAGACAAAGCAUACCAUUGGGGAGAGGAAAGAAAAAGAAAUGACACAUAGUUUAAGUAGUUUGUGGAAAUAGUUCAACGAUUGCUUGCGCGCUGACUACAGAUUUAUUUUAGUGCCUUGUUUUAACUGAUAUGUCAAGUUCAUGUUGAUAAUUCAAAAGGAAAGGAAUGUUACUUUUGGUUUAAGCACCCAUUACUGGAGAGAAGUGUUGAUUCAUGACACAAGAUAAGGCCUUGGCUAUCUUGACAUCCCAAGAUGAACAGGAAAUUAUUCAAAAUAGUUGUACUUCCAGAUAGUGAGAGUGGUGUCAAAUCAUAACUUUCAAUAUAGAAGAACUCGGACGUGCCAAUCUUCCAACCAGUUAGUCCUAACAGAGUCUGCUAGAGGCAAGUUGGCAUGUUGGUCUUUUCUUGUCAUUCAGCGAACAAAACGUAUUUUAUCGAUCCACAGUGUAAAUAGUAGGAGAUAUGCCUUUCAUACAAAUUUAAAAAUACACUGUAACUGAAACAAUUGAAUUGUACUGUUACUACAGUACAUAACAGCAACUCUUCACCAUGGUCAUCGAUAAACAUUGUUUUGCUGUAGAAAUAAAGAGGAUUUAUUGCACUUCAGAGUUUGCUCUUGUUGGGUCUUUUUGAGAGUUCUCAACAAAAUCCCCUUUGGGUGAAUGCACAGGAUAAUCAAGUUAACAGUAAUUCCUUUACGUGGUCCUUGAUUUACUUUUUAUGAUAAGUAGGAAAUUCGUAAAUUCUUUUGGUCUUGUUGCUCUUGAGUGAGACAAAUGCAGACUUGUUAAAUUUCAUCUUAUGUUGCCUGUACCAUUAUUGAGAGUUAUCUGUAAACCGCGAGGGUUUAGAACUGGAACAUUAUUCAGUCUAAACGGGGUGGCUUGUAAUCUGAGUUUGUCGCAGGCCUGUGUUGUAGAGACUAAGAUUUAAACCCAUGACCUUUUCCUCUGCAAAUUGACACUUCCAGCCCAAGUAACCAGAGCUGAUUGUCAGAAAUGAGAGAAUUUAUACCUCCUAACGUUUAAUCUUGAUGUGGUAUAAUCGUUAAGCCUUUGAUAAAAAUUGUUGUUUUA